GCGGGAUUAGUUGAGCGGUUCAACACAACCUUCCCAUGGUUGGAAGACGGGUUCGACUCCCGUAUCCCGCU
rnacentral:tRNA from 5 species